UACGAAGGGGGCUAGCGUUGCUCGGAAUCACUGGGCGUAAAGCGCACGUAGGCGGCUUGUUAAGUCAGGGGUGAAAUCCUGGAGCUCAACUCCAGAACUGCCUUUGAUACUGGCGAGCUUGAGUUCGGGGAGAGGUGAGUGGAACUGCGAGUGUAGAGGUGAAAUUCGUAGAUAUUCGCAAGAACACCAGUGGCGAAGGCGGCUCACUGGCCCGAUACUGACGCUGAGGUGCGAAAGCGUGGGAGCAAACAGGGAUUAGAUACCC
rnacentral:rRNA from 1 species